ACGGCGAGUGAAGCGGGAAGAGCUCAAAUUUAAAAUCUGGCAAUCUUUGGUUGUCCGAAUUGUAAUCUAGAGAAGCGUUUUCCGCGCUGGACUGUGUGCAAGUUUCCUGGAUACGGAACAUCAUAGAGGGUGAGAAUCCCGUCCUUGACACAGACUCCCAGUGCAUUUGUGAUGCGCUCUCGACGAGUCGAGUUGUUUGGGAUUGCAGCUCAAAAUGGGAGGUAAAUUCCUUCUAAAGCUAAAUAUUGGCGAGAGACCGAUAGCGAACAAGUACCGUGAGGGAAAGAUGAAAAGCACUUUGGAAAGAGAGUUAAACAGUACGUGAAAUUGUUAAAAGGGAAACGCUURAAGUCAGUCGCGUUUGCUUGGACUCAACCUUGCUUCGGUUUGGUGCAUUUCCUUGCAGACGGGCCAGCGUUCAUGUUGUUUGCCGGAAAAGGGGUGAGGGAAUGUGGCUCCUUCGGGAGUGUUAUAGCCUUUCGCUCGUACGCGGGGAAUGAUAUGGAGUGGUACGGCACGCUUCGGUGGUGYUUGUGCUGGCAUAAUGGCUUUAAACGACCCGUCUUGAAACACGGACCAAGGAGUCUAACAUGUCUGCGAGUGUUUGGGUGGAAAACCCGAGCGCGUAAUGAAAGUGAUGGCCGGGAAACCCUUUUUGGGAGGCACCGGCGCCCCGAGCUGACCUUCUGUGACGCAUCGGAGGUAGAGCAUAUAUUUUUGGGACCCCGAAAGAUGGUGAACUAUGCCCUGAAUAGGGGCGAAGCCAAGAGGAAACUCUUGGUGGAAGCUCGGAAGCGAUUCUUAACGUG
rnacentral:rRNA from 1 species